GAUGAACGCUAGCGGCAGGCCUAACACAUGCAAGUCGAGGGGCAGCACAGGUAGCAAUACUGGGUGGCGACCGGCGGAUGGGUGCGUAACGCGUAUGCAACCUACCAUUGAUUGGGGCAUAGCCCGAAGAAAUUCGGAUUAAUACUCCAUAAUAUUCAUCAAAGGCAUCUUUUAUGAAUUAAAGCUUUUGCGAUCAAUGAUGGGCAUGCGUGACAUUAGUUAGUUGGUGAGGUAACGGCUCACCAAAACGAUGAUGUCUAGGGGUUCUGAGAGGAUUAUCCCCCACACUGGUACUGAGACACGGACCAGACUCCUACGGGAGGCAGCAGUGAGGAAUAUUGGUCAAUGGACGCAAGUCUGAACCAGCCAUGCCGCGUGCAGGAUGACGGCCCUAUGGGUUGUAAACUGCUUUUCCACGGGAAGAACCCUCGACGUGUCGGAGACUGACGGUACCGUGGGAAUAAGCAUCGGCUAACUCCGUG
rnacentral:rRNA from 1 species